AUAUUGUAAAACAAGGAUCUAUUUACUGAUUUUUUUUGUAGUUAUAAAGCAAAGUAGAGAUAAAUUUAGUUUUCUGAAAAUUACAAUAAUCGAAAGAGUAAUAUUAACUCAGAAUAGUGAUUGGUUUUUAUAAACAAAAUUAGGAUAGGUAUAGCUGACACCAAUAUAUAUAUGCAUUUCAUGUGAUCUUGAGCAAUAAUAGGAAUGAAUUAUAAAUUAUCAAUACGAUGGAAAGGAGCAGAAGAGAGGGGAGUGUUGACAUGCUCUAACAAUGAUUCAGUUUUCUGAUUGAUUUCCCGAAAUUUCUGAAAUAUAAUAUAAAAAAGUAAAGACAUAGAAAUAAUGGAAAAUGAGAAAAAUAAUAGUGCAUAUUUAGGAUGAAUAUAGUUGGUAUUAAGUUCAUUCUUGAGAUGAUUAUUGUCAUAGAUUGAGGCUCCGAAUAAUAUUAAUGAAAUUUGAGCCGGGAUAACUGCAAAGUUACCUAGAAAUAAGUUAAAAAAUGAAAUAUCUGUUAAACCCAGUAAACAAUUACUUGGAACAAAAGGUAAAAAAAGAGAGAGUCUAAUCAAUGCAAGUAGUAGAAACCCUCUUUCUUUUGCUAUUUCGUUGAAUGCAGAAAAAAAUUUGUACUGACGAGCCUUUUCCCCCAAAUAUUUUGGAAAACAAAAUCUGGUAACAAUAACCGUCAAGAAUGUACUGAUUUGUGUGGCGUUAAAACAUAUAAAUAAACACAAAAGUACAUCAAUAGUGGGUCCAUUAAUACUUGAGGUAAAAAAUGCCAUAGAUACUAAGAUUGGUUCAAUAGGUACUGAAAUGGUCAUUAAUAGUGAAAUAAUUAUUGUUGAGAUGGUUGUUGUUAUUAUAACAUUUUCUUUAACUUCCACAGAAAACUUUUCUAUCCAAUGAGUUGUAUCUCGAAAAUGGUAUAAAAUAAGUACUAUUGACACUGUUAAUAUUGUUGUAAAUGCUAGCUUUAAUGCCAUAUAUGAGUAUAUUUUCACAUCUAUUUUUCUUAAAGCAGAAAAUCUUUCCAAAUUUUUGCUCAUCUUGAAUUAUUGUUGGAAUUUAACUGGUAGAAAUACCCAGCUACAAUCUUAUGAAUCCUUCAAACUAUUUUGAUUCUUAUUUUAGAUCUUCAAAUUUUUUUUUCUACUCUCCAAAUUCAAGCCCUGAUUUGCAGGUAAUAUCUUACAAUAUUGCCAUUUGCCCGCCCAAAAUGUGGGGAAAAGUCAUAAAAGAUUAUUUGGAAAUAUUAGUAACCAAGAAUUUUAUUAAAAAAAAAACAAACAGAUAUAUAGAAACAAUUAGUUAUUAGACUAAUUUGUAAUUUAGGUAUUAAUUAUUUCAGAUUUUCUGUUAAUAACAUGAAUUUAGGUUAAAUUUAUAUUUUAAUC
rnacentral:antisense_RNA from 1 species